rnacentral:rRNA from 1 species
AUGCCGCCUCGGCUGCCGCAGACCCAAUCCGAGCGCGCCAGCCCUUUGGCUUCUUAUGCCCAUGCCCUCCUCACCUCUUCUUAUAGCAUGCAACCCCCCAUCGCUCCUCGUCACUGCUUUUCCAACCCUCCCAAGAGGUUCAACGCCAUGUCGCGCUGCUUCCGAUGCUUGGCUCUCGACCACCAAGUGCGAGACUGUAGAGACCCCGUGAGAUGCCGGAGAUGCUGGCGGGUGGGCCACACCCAACAUGGCUGCGCUGCUAUUUUACCUCCACCCACCCUUCCACUUGUCAAUCACCAGCCCGCUCCUAGCCUCCCCACUCCACCACAGAGCCCUCGCUCCACAACUCCACCUCCCAGCCACCCUCCCUCCGCUCCCAUGGCCGACUUCAUCCCGCUCGAGCUAGCUUCCUCCGAGGAUGAGCUCGACCUGUCCCCCGCUCACACGCCCUCCCCCCGAGUGUUCUCCUUCCCGGAGCAGACCCAAGCCGCAGAGGUCGACGAUGCGGCCGUCGACGAAGAGGAGGACCCAGACGAGGUUGAGUUCGAAUCGGGGGAGGAGUCCACCGAUUUGGAUGCAACCCAAUCCAUGUUUCUCUCUUCCCCGCCUCGGCACCGUCGCGAUUUCUCUGACGUUUUCAUGCCAUACACACCCAUUGAGCACUUCCAAAACCUUGCUUUCGCCGUCGUCAACCCACCUCAUCCCUCUCCCCAAGCUUACAUUCACCGUGCGCUCCAAACCGAGGGUGGCAACCCACCUGUCCUCAUUAGGGCCUCUUCCUAUGGGGCCGGUCUUGUCGUUUACGGCUCGACCUAUGAGAGAGAGUCCAUCCUCAAUAGUCCUCUCACGUGCCCUCUGAACACAGUCAACCUCGUCCACCAUGAAAAUCGUUUCCUUUUUCGCCUUGGCACGGUUUCUGCCCUCCACAUCAAAGACUUCCCACUCGAAUAUUGGUUCACGCCCACCAUCAUUAACUCUACCGUUCCCUUCGCCUGCCCAAUCCAGAUUGAUCCGGUCUGCCUGACCGGAGUUGACUACUCUGCUGUCCUUGUCUCUGUCAAAUCCCGCACUCUCACUGACCCCCACACCAUCCCUGUCCAUGGUUUCUCUGGCCUUGGGGCCAUCGCCUCUGUCCUUGUCAUCCACUCUCAAGAGCUCCCGCCGGACCCUGCCUUUGCGGGGCCAGACUCUGAUGACGACAACAACGACGGUGGUGGUCAGGGGGAUGGUGGUGACUUCCCAGGAGGCAUGGACCCCAACCUCUCCGCGCCUCCCCCGCCGCCAACCGAUGAGGGGCACGACGAUCGGGUCGUGCAGCUACCUGGUGGCCUUACCAUGAUGGCAAACCACAAGCCGCUUGUCUGCAUGGUUCCCCUCACGGCUCGCCCGAAGUCCGUGCAAGUCAAGCUCUUCAAGGGCUUUUACGAUGUGCGCGUCCAAGGCGUCGGUGGCGAGCGCGGGUUCUACCGCAUCCCCAUGAGCCCGGCGGGCUCGCCCAAGCUGCUCGUCGCCAACCUCGCGGCCUGCUCCAUCGGCUACCUCGACCGGGUGGCAACGGUCGGCCCCUCCCACGCCCCCUUCACGGACGCCGAGGUCAUCUGCAAUGACUUCCGCGGCCGCGCCUUCACCCCGAGCUGCGACGGUGAGGCGCAAGUCAUGCAGGCCAUCGAGCGCUUCGAUAGCGGCCUGCCGCCGUUCCCUGCUCCCCAGGCCAUGCAGCUCGAGGACGGAACUCCGGAGGGCAUACCACUGCUGCCGCUGCCUCCUUCUUCUCCGGCUCCAACCCCGACCCCUUGGCGGAUCUUCCUUCCCGCGCGGCCUCACCCAAGAUCUUCUUCACCCGUCGCAGUGCCCGCAUCCGGAAGGGGGAAAACCCUAACUGCAUGA